rnacentral:rRNA from 1 species
GAUGAACGCUGGCGGCGUGCCUAACACAUGCAAGUCGAACGGGACUCUUUUAGAUCAAGACUUCGGUUGAGAGAAGCUAGAGUCUAGUGGCGGACGGGUGAGUAACGCGUGAGCAACCUGCCUUUCAGAGGGGGACAACAGUUGGAAACGACUGCUAAUACCGCAUAUUGCAUAUUUAUCGCAUGAUAAAUAUGUGAAAGAUUUAUCGCUGAAAGAUGGGCUCGCGUCUGAUUAGCUAGUUGGUGGGGUAAUGGCUCACCAAGGCAACGAUCAGUAGCCGGACUGAGAGGUUGAACGGCCACAUUGGGACUGAGAUACGGCCCAGACUCCUACGGGAGGCAGCAGUGGGGAAUAUUGGGCAAUGGGGGAAACCCUGACCCAGCAACGCCGCGUGGAGGAAGAAGGCUUUCGGGUUGUAAACUCCUUUGACCAGGGAAGAAGAAGUGACGGUACCUGGAAAACAAGCCACGGCUAACUACGUGCCAGCCGCCGCCGUAACAC